AUUUAAGUGCAGUGACAGUGUCGUACCCCAUGAGGUUUAUCUGAGGUGUUAUUAUUGCUUAUUGAAAACGUUAUCAAAUACCCUGCCUUGAUGAUUUGAAGCAUGGGCAAUAUAGGAUAAUGUCCAUCAGGUGUGUAACUAGGCG